CCUACGGGAGGCAGCAGUGGGGGAUAUUGCACAAUGGGGGGAACCCUGAUGCAGCGACGCCGCGUGGGUGAAGGAGUGCUUCGGCAUGUAAAGCCCUAUCGGCAGGGAAGAAGCAAGACGGUACCUGACUAAGAAGCCCCGGCUAACUACGUGCCAGCAGCCGAGGUAAUACGCAGGGGGCGAGCGUUAUCCGGAUUCAUCGGGUGUAAAGGGAGCGUAGACGGCCAUGCAAGCCAGGGGUGAAAGCCCGGGGCCCAACCCCGGGACCGCCCUUGAAACUGUGCGGCUAGAGUGCGGGAGGGGCAGGGGGAAUUCCGGGUGUAGCGGUGAAAUGCGUAGAUAUCAGGAGGAACACCGGCGGCGAAGGCGGCCUGCUGGACUGCGACUGACGUUGAGGCUCGAAAGCGUGGGGAGCGAACGGGAUUAGAUACCCGGGUAGUC
rnacentral:rRNA from 1 species